rnacentral:SRP_RNA from 1 species
GCCAGGUGUUGUGGCAAGUACCUGUGGUCCUAGCUACUUGGGAGGCUGAGGCAGGAGACUCGCUUGAGCCCAGGAGUUGGAGGUUGCUGUGAGCUGUGAUGCCACAGCACUCUAGACUCUACCCAGGGGAAUAGCUUGAGGCUCUGUCUCAAAAAAAAAAUUAUUCUUUUCUUUUCGAGACAGAGCCUCAAGCUGUUGCCCUGGGUAGAGGGCCAUGGCAUCACAGCUCACAGCAACCUCCAUCUCCUGGGCUCAAGCGAUUCUUCUGCCUCCU